AAAAUUGUGUAUCAGCACAUCUCUCUCUCUUUGAGGAAAAAAAAUUAGAAGGGGGAAACCCAAAAAGUAACACACACACACACACACACACACACACACACACACACACACACACACACACACACACACACACACACACACACACACACACACACACACGCUUCCUAUUCCACUUUUCCCUGAACCUUUUCCUUCUUCCAUUCAGCCUCCUCAGAGAAACGGGCGCUCAGCAUCAUCAGCAUCCAGUGACGACGUCCAUGAGGAGAUGAAGGUGAGCCAGCCUUUCUGAUCAAAGCACCCGUCUAUAAAGCUCAAGGCUGGCCUUCCUCGGUGGGGAUGUCAACACAUCUACUUCUAAGUCGAGGCAGAGGGAUGGGAAAAGGAG
ensembl:lncRNA